UACGUAGGAUGCGAGCGUUGUCCGGAAUUAUUGGGCGUAAAGAGAACGUAGGCGGUUUCCUAAGUUCGGUCUUAAAGACCGGGGCUCAACCCCGGGAAUGGAUUGAAAACUGGGAGACUCGAGGACAUCAGAGGAAAGUGGAAUUCCCAGUGUAGCGGUGAAAUGCGUAGAUAUUGGGAGGAACACCAGUGGCGAAAGCGACUUUCUGGGGUGUUUCUGACGCUGAGGUUCGAAAGCUCGGGGAGCAAACAGGAUUAGAUACCCUGGUAGUCCGAGCCGUAAACGAUGGAUACUAGGUGUCGUGGGUAUCGACCCCCGCGGUGCCGUAGCUAACGCGUUAAGUAUCCCGCCUGGGGAGUACGGUCGCAAGACUGAA
rnacentral:rRNA from 1 species